UACGUAGGGGGCUAGCGUUGUCCGGAAUCAUUGGGCGUAAAGCGCGUGUAGGCGGCCUAGUAAGUCCGUUCUGAAAGCCCGGGGCUCAACCCCGGGAGGCGGAUGGAUACUGCAAGGCUCGAGUCCGGAAGAGGCAAGUGGAAUUCCCGGUGUAGCGGUGAAAUGCGUAGAUAUUGGGAGGAACACCAGUGGCGAAGGCGGCUCACUGGACCGGUACUGACGCUGAGGCGCGAAAGCCAGGGGAGCAAACGGG
rnacentral:rRNA from 1 species